UGUAGAGGAGACGGAGACAGAUGAUCCGCUGUGGCGAACCCUAAUGGGAGAAGCCGAAAGAAAAUUUAUUUAUCAAUUUAAGUUUUAUCUGACUGCAUUAAAAUAAAACUCAUUGAGACUCAUGGCUUAUGUCCCAAAAAAUGUGUCAGUAUCAGCUACUGCUGUCACAAAAGUUAUUUGUUUUUUAAAUUGUGCACGUUUUGCUCGAACAUGAAAGGAAACAUAAUACAAUAGACUGCAAAUCUGUGUAUCCUUAAGAACCAAAUUUAAAACAAUUUUGAACAAUAUGAGGUAUUACAAAAAGCAAAAUUUUCCCCCUAUGUAAAUUUUACAUACAGUUUUUGUAACUUUUGCCAAUUGACCAUCUGUAUCCUCUGAUCUUGUUUAUUAAAACAAUAAAAAAAAAGCUCAGAGAGUUUGUAAUGGUGCCUAAACCCUUCUGAUGUAACUGAAUAAAUGUUGCCAGCUACCAACUACAUCAAUGAUGAAUGCUAACCCAUGCUUCCUCUGAGACACGUGAAUCUACCCAGCUGCAUCUGUUCGAACUUCUGCUCAUGCUUCUCCCAUCAGGGGUCGCCACAGUGGAUCAUCCGCAUGUUUGAUUUGGCACAUGUUUU